rnacentral:rRNA from 2 species
AGAGUUUGAUCAUGGCUCAGAUUGAACGCUGGCGGCAGGCCUAACACAUGCAAGUCGAGCGGUAGCACAGAGAGCUUGCUCUCGGGUGACGAGCGGCGGACGGGUGAGUAAUGUCUGGGAAACUGCCUGAUGGAGGGGGAUAACUACUGGAAACGGUAGCUAAUACCGCAUAACGUCGCAAGACCAAAGUGGGGGACCUUCGGGCCUCAUGCCAUCAGAUGUGCCCAGAUGGGAUUAGCUGGUAGGUGGGGUAACGGCUCACCUAGGCGACGAUCCCUAGCUGGUCUGAGAGGAUGACCAGCCACACUGGAACUGAGACACGGUCCAGACUCCUACGGGAGGCAGCAGUGGGGAAUAUUGCACAAUGGGCGCAAGCCUGAUGCAGCCAUGCCGCGUGUGUGAAGAAGGCCUUCGGGUUGUAAAGCACUUUCAGCGGGGAGGAAGGCGAUAAGGUUAAUAACCUUGUCGAUUGACGUUACCCGCAGAAGAAGCACCGGCUAACUCCGUGCCAGCAGCCGCGGUAAUACGGAGGGUGCAAGCGUUAAUCGGAAUUACUGGGCGUAAAGCGCACGCAGGCGGUCUGUCAAGUCGGAUGUGAAAUCCCCGGGCUCAACCUGGGAACUGCAUUCGAAACUGGCAGGCUAGAGUCUUGUAGAGGGGGGUAGAAUUCCAGGUGUAGCGGUGAAAUGCGUAGAGAUCUGGAGGAAUACCGGUGGCGAAGGCGGCCCCCUGGACAAAGACUGACGCUCAGGUGCGAAAGCGUGGGGAGCAAACAGGAUUAGAUACCCUGGUAGUCCACGCUGUAAACGAUGUCGAUUUGGAGGUUGUGCCCUUGAGGCGUGGCUUCCGGAGCUAACGCGUUAAAUCGACCGCCUGGGGAGUACGGCCGCAAGGUUAAAACUCAAAUGAAUUGACGGGGGCCCGCACAAGCGGUGGAGCAUGUGGUUUAAUUCGAUGCAACGCGAAGAACCUUACCUGGUCUUGACAUCCACAGAACUUAGCAGAGAUGCUUUGGUGCCUUCGGGAACUGUGAGACAGGUGCUGCAUGGCUGUCGUCAGCUCGUGUUGUGAAAUGUUGGGUUAAGUCCCGCAACGAGCGCAACCCUUAUCCUUUGUUGCCAGCGGUUAGGCCGGGAACUCAAAGGAGACUGCCAGUGAUAAACUGGAGGAAGGUGGGGAUGACGUCAAGUCAUCAUGGCCCUUACGACCAGGGCUACACACGUGCUACAAUGGCAUAUACAAAGAGAAGCGACCUCGCGAGAGCAAGCGGACCUCAUAAAGUAUGUCGUAGUCCGGAUUGGAGUCUGCAACUCGACUCCAUGAAGUCGGAAUCGCUAGUAAUCGUAGAUCAGAAUGCUACGGUGAAUACGUUCCCGGGCCUUGUACACACCGCCCGUCACACCAUGGGAGUGGGUUGCAAAAGAAGUAGGUAGCUUAACCUUCGGGAGGGCGCUUACCACUUUGUGAUUCAUGACUGGGGUGAAGUCGUAACAAGGUAACCGUAGGGGAACCUGCGGUUGGAUCACCU